rnacentral:SRP_RNA from 1 species
UUGUAGGCUAGGCUGGGUGGUUAGUCCUCACUUGUAACUGUAAACGGACUUAGACAGAGCUGAAACUGUAUGGGCGAGAAUAAGGAUUAUUUUUCGUCUUGUGUCGUACAAUGAUUUCUUGUCUUGUAUGGCUGUAUCCUUUGCGAAUCAUGUCAGGCUAGGAAUAGAGCAGCAUUAAGCAAAGGGUAUGGUGUUUACAAGGUCGCAGGAAGAAGAAAAACGCAAGGUCAACGGUAAGUAGUUUUUGUUUUCCACUGUACAGUGUGCCUACAC